rnacentral:rRNA from 1 species
GCAUGCCCAGUUCGUAAGAACAGGGUAUGACGGAGCGGCGAACGGGUGAGUAACACGUGAGCAACCUGCCCCACAGACCGGGAUAGCCCAAGGAAACUUGGAUUAAUACCGGAUGACCUCGAACGACCACAUGGUCGACCGAGGAAAAGCCUUUGUGCUGUGGGAUGGGCUCGCGGCUUAUCAGCUAGUUGGUGGGGUAACGGCCUACCAAGGCAUCGACGAGUAGCUGGUCUGAGAGGACGAUCAGCCACACUGGAACUGAGACACGGUCCAGACUCCUACGGGAGGCAGCAGCAGGGAAUCUUGCGCAAUGGGCGAAAGCCUGACGCAGCAACGCCGCGUGGGGGAUGAAGGCCUUCGGGUUGUAAACCCCUUUCAGGAGGGAAGAAAUUGACGGUACCUCCAGAAGAAGGACCGGCCAACUACGUGCCAGCAGCCGCGGUAAUACGUAGGGUCCUAGCGUUAUCCGGAAUCAUUGGGCGUAAAGAGCUCGUAGGCGGUUCAGCAAGUCGGCUGUGAAAGUCCGAGGCUCAACCUCGGAAUUGCAGUCGAUACUGCUGUGACUCGAGUCCGGUAGAGGAGAAUGGAAUUCUCGGUGUAGCGGUGAAAUGCGCAGAUAUCGAGAGGAACACCAGUAGCGAAGGCGGUUCUCUGGGCCGGCACUGACGCUGAGGAGCGAAAGCGUGGGGAGCAAACAGGAUUAGAUACCCUGGUAGUCCACGCCGUAAACGUUG